UUAUUAUUUUAAUAUUUUAUCUUAGUUCUUAUUACUUCUUAAACCAACGAAUUAAAAUAAUAUACUUAAGUUAAGCUGUAUUUUAUUUUUAUUAACUUAUAGACCGAUCUUAUGCCUGAUUGUUAUAUAACUAUGGUAUAACCAAAGUAUAACUGUACGCAAUAAUUGUCAUCCUAGAUGUAAUUCGUGUAUAAAAAUUAUAGAUAAGGUUGCUUACUUUUCUUAAUAGUGUAUAGAUCAUUAACGACGAAAUUACAACUUCGGCUGGUUCGUGGGUGAUGUGCAAAAUGGAAACAAUGACAAUGACAUGCACGGACGUGACACAUGAACGCCGUAUAUCGAAGCAACCGACUAAAGUACUGUUGACAUUAAGUAACGUACUUUUACCUAAGGAAAAACUUACGUCCACACCAUCGAUGAUCGACGGGUUAGAUUUCGAGACCGAAGUCGACUUAAGGAUCGUUGGCUGCGAGUGGAUUCAGACCGCUGGCAUACUGCUCAAACUUCCCCAGGUUGCAAUGGCAACUGGACAAGUGUUGUUUCAACGAUUUUACUAUACUAAAUCAUUUGUUCGCCACCCAAUGGAAAUAACUGCAAUGGCAUGCACAUGUUUGGCCUCUAAAGUUGAGGAAUCACCACGACGUAUCCGUGAUGUUAUUAAUGUUUAUCAUCAUAUCCGUCAAGUUAUAAAUCAAAAAUUGAUUACUCCGUUGGUACUUGAUCAAAAUUAUGUACAGAAAAAGACGCAGGUAAUAAAAGCAGAACGACGGGUGCUCAAGGAGCUUGGCUUUUGUGUACACGUUAAACACCCACAUAAACUCAUUGUAAUGUAUCUACAGGCACUUGGAUUUGAAAAACAUCAAUCAAUAAUGCAGAUGUCCUGGAACUAUAUGAAUGAUUCAUUGCAAACUGAUGUAUUUGUUCAAUUUUAUCCAGAAACUAUUGCUUGUGCUUGUAUAUAUCUAUCAGCUAGGAAAUUACGAAUACCUUUGCCAAAAAGUCCAGCAUGGUAUUCUUUAUUUAAUUCAAAUGAAACUGACAUCCAGGACAUCUGUCGUAAAAUACUUAAACUUUAUCUCAGGCCAAAAGUUAUCACAGAAGAUUUAGAAAAGAGAGUAGAAGAAUCAAAGAAAGAGUAUGAUCAGGCUAAGGAAAAAGCUAAAGAAGCUAUUGCUCAUUCAGUAGUACAAACAGAAGUAAUAACACAUAAACCCAGUAAUGGAAUAACUUCUGCUAUCCCAAGAAAUAUUAGUUCAACUACCCCAAACAAGUAUGCAUAUUCUCCAGAUUUCUUACAUAAAACCAAUAAAAAAAAGAAGUAGAAGUAGAAGUAGAACACCUUUGAAAAUUAAGUCUAGAAGUAAAAGUCCAAGACAUUUAAAGAAAUCAAAAAAAAGAAGAUUAGUACCUACUUACAGAGACUAUAAAAACUAUAAGGAUUACAAGGAUUAUAGAGGCAAUGAAAAUUAUAAAUCUAAAUCUAGGAACUACAACUAUCAUUAAAAAUAUUAAUAGUCAUAUACUUAUAAUAUACUCUUAAAAUAUGUUAUAUUAAAACAUUGCUUGUUUAGUUAACUUCAAAUCAAGUAAUUUUGUUUCAAUUCUAUAAUAUAUGUGACAUGUGUGUUAAUAAUUAGAUAAUCAAUAAGUCAAGUCCAUGAUGAAGUGCAAUCUUUAUUAAUGUAACAUAAUAGGUUUGACUAAUAGCCUUUUUUAUCAUAAUUUACAAAAAUAAAAUGUCUAAAAAUAUUUAAAAUAGUCAUUAUAUAAUGUUACUUAUUGAUAAUAUUGUUAAAAAAAAACAAUUUUGAAAUCAGUUACAUUUUGAACUAUUGAGAGUAAUUCAUAAUUAUUAACUAUGAUACUUGCAAUUUAUACAUUUAAAAUUUUUCCAAUAGUUAGCUAAAACAAAUUGAUUGAUGAACACCCCUUGUUAAUAUUUAUUAUUGUAUAAUAUAUUUAAUAAUAAAAUCACAUUAUUAAAAUUGUAGAUUUGGUCUACAUAUUUUUGAUAAGUCAUACUCUUUAAUUAUUAUAAUUCUGAAAACCAUACAAAACAGAUAUUAUAUUUAUUUUUACUUAUAUUUAUUUUAAUUAAAAAAAAUUUAAGUAGGUAAAUAUAAUAUAUUAAUAUAGUAUACUCUAUUCACAUUACGAUCAAUUCUAUUCAUUAACCAGUUUAUACUUUUAGUUCCCAGAUAAUCUAAAUAUUCUAAAUGACAAAGUCAUCACCCCCAUAGAGGUUGCAGACUAUUAUCCUAAGUGAAAUGUUGUGGAAAAGCUUUCCUGUUCAUAAUUUGGUGCUCGUGUACAGAUCGUGAUGUGAAUAGAGUACCUAUAGAAUAUAUGUAAUUAUGUAAUGUAUAAAUAUUAAAUAUUAAAUAUAUAUGUAAUGUGUAAAAAAAAAUUGUAAAUUUAUAAUUGUUUAGUUCUUUAAAAUGAAAUUUAAAUAAUAAAUAAUUAAUUAACUGUGAUAAUAAAUGAUUUUGUUUUUAUAGUUUUGAAA